rnacentral:rRNA from 1 species
AUUGAACGCUGGCGGAAUGCUUUACACAUGCAAGUCGAACGGCAGCACGGACUUCGGUCUGGUGGCGAGUGGCGAACGGGUGAGUAAUGUAUCGGAACGUGCCCAGUCGUGGGGGAUAACGUAGUGAAAAUUACGCUAAUACCGCAUACGAUCUAUGGAUGAAAGCGGGGGAUCGCAAGACCUCGCGCGAUUGGAGCGGCCGAUAUCAGAUUAGGUAGUUGGUGGGGUAAAGGCCCACCAAGCCAACGAUCUGUAGCUGGUCUGAGAGGACGACCAGCCACACUGGAACUGAGACACGGUCCAGACUCCUACGGGAGGCAGCAGUGGGGAAUUUUGGACAAUGGGCGAAAGCCUGAUCCAGCCAUUCCGCGUGCAGGAUGAAGGCCCUCGGGUUGUAAACUGCUUUUGUACAGAACGAAAAGGUUUCUACUAAUACUAGGAGCUCAUGACGGUACUGUAAGAAUAAGCACCGGCUAACUACGUGCCAGCCGCCGCAGUAA